rnacentral:rRNA from 1 species
GAGGCGAACCGGGAGAACUGAAACAUCUAAGUACCCCGAGGAAAAGAAAUCAACCGAGAUUCCCUCAGUAGCGGCGAGCGAACGGGGAUUAGCCCUUAAGCAUCUUGGAAGUUAGUGGAACGGUCCUGGAAAGGCCGGCGAUACAGGGUGAUAGCCCCGUACACGAAAACAACCUUGAUGUGAAAUCGAGUAGGGCGGGACACGUGACAUCCUGUCUGAAUAUGGGGGGACCAUCCUCCAAGGCUAAAUACUCCUGACUGACCGAUAGUGAACCAGUACCGUGAGGGAAAGGCGAAAAGAACCCCUGUGAGGGGAGUGAAAUAGAACCUGAAACCGUGUACGUACAAGCAGUGGGAGCCCUUCGGGGUGACUGCGUACCUUUUGUAUAAUGGGUCAGCGACUUACAUUUUGUAGCGAGGUUAACCGUAUAGGGGAGCCGUAGGGAAACCGAGUCUUAACUGGGCGUCUAGUUGCAAGGUGUAGACCCGAAACCGGGUGAUCUAGCCAUGGGCAGGUUGAAGGUUGAGUAACAUCAACUGGAGGACCGAACCCACUAACGUUGCAAAGUUAGGGGAUGACCUGUGGCUGGGGGUGAAAGGCCAAUCAAACUCGGAGAUAGCUGGUUCUCCCCGAAAGCUAUUUAGGUAGCGCCUCGGACGAAUACUACUGGGGGUAGAGCACUGUUUGGGCUAGGGGGUCAUCCCGACUUACCAACCCCAUGCAAACUCCGAAUACCAGUAAGUAAUAUCCGGGAGACACACGGCGGGUGCUAACGUCCGUCGUGAAGAGGGAAACAACCCAGACCGCCGGCUAAGGUCCCAAAGUUCUGGUUAAGUGGGAAACGAUGUGGGAAGGCUCAGACAGCUAGGAUGUUGGCUUAGAAGCAGCCAUCAUUUAAAGAAAGCGUAAUAGCUCACUAGUCGAGUCGGCCUGCGCGGAAGAUGUAACGGGGCUCAAACCAGGCACCGAAGCCGCGGAUUCACACUUAUGUGUGAGUGGUAGGGGAGCGUUCUGUAAGUCUGCGAAGGUGUAUCGAGAGGUAUGCUGGAGAUAUCAGAAGUGCGAAUGCUGACGUAAGUAACGAUAAAGGGGGUGAAAAGCCUCCUCGCCGGAAGACCAAGGGUUCCUGUCCAACGUUAAUCGGGGCAGGGUGAGUCGACCCCUAAGGCGAGGCCGAAAGGCGUAGUCGAUGGGAAGCAGGUUAAUAUUCCUGCACGACUUGUAAUUGCGAUGGGGGGACGGAGAAGGCUAGGUGGGCCAGGCGACGGUUGUCCUGGUGAAAGUGCGUAGGUGGUGUUU